CUAUAGACCAAACUGCACCCCCCCCCCUUCCCCAAAACAGGGUUUCUCUGUGUAGUUUUGGUGCCUGUCCUGGGCCUCGCUCUGUAGACCAGGCUGGCCUCUAACUCACAGAGAUCUGCCUGGCUCUGCCUCCCAAGUGCUGGGAUUAAAGGCGUACGCCACAACCGCCCGGUGUGGCAUCAUCUCUUCAUCUGUGUUUUGGUUGGUCUUUGAGCAGCUCUGGGAGGUCAUCUUGGAGAGACUAAGCACUCUCUUAGGCUCAUUGAGAAUUGGCUGUGAACUCUAGGCAAUUCAUAAGUACAUUGCAUUGCUCUUUGCAAAUCCAGGGUCUGCCCAAUACCCUAGAUGAUACCUCCACCAAGAUCCUGAUCCUCAAAAGCAUGAUGCUCCACUCCCUUUCCUGGGCUGUCCCAUUUACCCUGUUUGCAUCUCUCUGCAUCUGAACACCAUUGUAUAUUGUUUCUCUUUCUUCUGGAAAUUGGUGAGACAGUACACACCAAAAGUAGUUAUAACGUCCAACAUUUUACAGUGGUGAGAUACCAUCCAUCUGUAAGUAGAACCUUUGUGUGAAAGUCUGGACUUGAAGGCUACAUUUUGGAAAAGUUGCCCACUGAGGGACAGUGACUUGUCCCCAGCCCUGCUGAGAGGUAGUGGCAUAGAUUCUGAAGGUAGAACUUCAGGAAACAAUGUGAAGAAGAAAACACUAAACUGGGUGGUACAUGACUGUAUCCUCAAUACUUAGGACUCCACAGCAGGAUGAUCAGUUUUGGGCCAGCUUGCGUUAUAUAUUGAGAAACUAUCUCAGACCAACAGAACACUACCACCACAAAUCACUAGUCAUACUGGAUAGCAGAGUUAAUGCACCCACUGUAUACAAGUGGGAUGAGAAAACCCAAAGGCCUCCAAUCUGUAUCUAUCCCCGACUGCCCAAGGAUGAGGAUGUCAGAAUAAAGUGUCUCUCAAGUCUGUGAGAACUAGAGGUAAUGAGAUUGGCAUGGAAUCCAAGUGGAUGGGACAGCUCAGGUUGGAAGCCAGGAAUUACCUUCAUUCAUUUGUUUAUUCCAUCAUUCCUUCACGACAUGUGCCAGACAUCAAGGACACAACAGUCAGCAACCCAACAUACUGACCCACCUGCAGCUGGCAUUCUAUUGGGUAAUUAGACAAUAAGGUGAAAUAAAGUAAAUGAAUCAUCAAAUCUGUAGGUGGCACCAGAGAGGCUGGAGGAGGUGCCUGCUGGGGAGUGUUCACAGGGUGUGGCUGCCAUGUUCAUUGGGACCAUUGGGCAGUUGUAUUUGCAGUAGUUUGCAUGUGAAGUUUAGGUCAAAAUUGGUAAGUUCAUUUAUUGACCUGCAAGUUUACUAUUUCAAGUUGAUGAGGUUGUUAUUUUCUUGGUCCUGGAGAUUAAACCUAGAGCCUCCUGAUUACUUAGGCAAGCACUCUACCUCAAUUAUUCCCCUGGUUCCUGACCUGUUUUGGGUGACUUUUAUUCUGAGAUAGGAUCUCCUUAAAUUGCUUAAGUUGGCCUUGUGAUCCUCUUAAGAGGAAGAGUAGCUUCCUGUAUAAUAGCUGGGAGUACAGGCCCAGGGUUACCAACCCAUCAGACUGCUGCUGGGAAAAAGCCUGGAAGAGACGUAAGUUCUUGGUUCCCUUGUAUUCUGGUACUUACGGUCCAGGCUCGCAGGUGCCAUUCCCACUGCCUUUAUGUGCGCGUGCGCGAGAGUCAGAACGGCUUUCUCAGACUGCGUGUAGCCGCCGCGGCUGGAGCACAGUACGGCUAGCGGUUGGAUGGCGCGGGGCGGAGCGGGGCGGGCAGCGGCCCUGGGCCUGGCGCUGCGGCUGCUGCUUUUGCUUGGACUAGGCGUAGAGGCUGCUCCGGCCCCGGCCCUGGCCCCAACCCAAGUCCAGGUCUCUGGGCUGGUCACCUGGCACCUUCCUGCAGCAGGCCCCCGAGCUGGCUCGUGCCCGACAGACAACUUCCAGUGUAUUACCAAUGGCUACUGUGUGCCCGUCUCCUGGCGCUGUGAUGGGGACCCAGACUGCUCUGAUAGCAGUGAUGAGGAGGAGUGUAGGAUUGAGCCAUGUGCUCAGAAAGGGCAGUGCCAACCACUGGCUACCCUUCCUUGCUCCUGUGACAACAUCAGUGGUUGCCCUGCUGGCUCUGACAAGAACCUUCUCAACUGCAGCCGCCAGCCCUGUCAGGAGGGUGAGCUGCGUUGCAUGUUGGGCGAUGUCUGUAUCCCACACACAUGGCACUGUGAUGGCCACCCAGACUGUCCCGACUCCAGUGAUGAGCUCAGCUGUGACACCAACAUAGAAACUGACAAGAUCUUCCAGGAGGAGAAUGCCACAACUACAAGGACUCCUAUGACCCUGGAGAAUGAGACCUCUCUCAGGAAUGCAACAGUUGCCUCUGCUGGGAACCCUUCGCGAAACCCAAAUGCCUAUGGGGUUAUUGCAGCUGCUGCCUCUGUUUCCCUUGGCCUGGGCAGCCUGGGGUCUCUUCUGGAUCCCCUUUCACCUUCUAAGGGAGCCUUCAGCCAAGAGAACAUGGGAUGGUGUUCUGGACAUGUCCUCCGAUACUCCGCCUUCUGCAGAAAGUCAGGUUGGGUGUUGAGUCCACCUGUGUUAACAGUGGGCUUAACAGAAGAGGAGGAGAGCUGAGGUGGUGUCUCCUCAUUUGAGAGUCAUCUGUCAUGGCUUCUUCUUCUGUGACAUGGAAGCUGGGCAAUCCUGAUAUGAACUUGGCUAUUCCCUGUUGUUGCAAGGCCAUAAUCACAGCACUUGGGAAGGCGAGGUAGGAGAAUUAGAAGUAAUAGGCUUGAUGGUACAUACCUGUAAUCCUAGCUACUGGGAAGGUUAAGAUGUGAAGAUCUGGAGUUCAAGGAAUGUCCGGGCUAUUCAGGGCGACCUUGUUUUCUCUCUUCCCCAGUUGUAGUUGGUUGAUGUUUUGUGAAAUAGUUUUGUUCUAGGCUAGCAGGUUGUUUACUGUCUAGCGUUGAGUUAGCCCUGGGAGGGAGGGGCUGUCCCGAGGUGAUAACCGAGGUCCCAGAUACCUGAGCAUGAAUAAUACAGAAAACAAGAAAAUGCAGUUAAUGUACAACUUGACUUCUGAAUAACAAGGCAAAGCUCUUCUCAGACUCUUAGCCCAUAAAUUCGUAAGUAAAAUGGUGGGGACUGUUGGAGUCCCCUCAACUGGGAGAGGAGAUAGCUCUCGGCAUCUUUGGUGGCGCCUAUUAACCUGGGGUCUCAUGAUGAGUAUCGGAAUUCUGAGGCUGUGCAAGCAAGAGGACCUGAGUUCAGAUCCCCAAUACCCAUGUAGAAAGCUGGAUUUGCCUGUAAUCUUUUUGCUGAGGGUGGGUAUGAAGACAGGAGGAUGCCAGAGACUUGCUGGCCAGAUAGUCUAGCCUGAGAGCUUGAGAUUCAGUCAGAAAUCUUGUCUCAAAAAUAAGGAGGGACUGGGGAUAUGUUUCAGUGUUUAAAGCACUUGUUGCACAAGCAUGGAAACAUAGUUUGGAUCCCCAAAACCCAUGUAAAUGUGGGGUGGGUUUGUUGGCCUGCCUAUAAUUUUAGCCUUGAGGCAGGGACAGGAUCCCCAGAGCAAGCUAGCUAGUGAGAUCCUGUCUCAUUGAAUAUGAUGGAAGAAUAAUCCAGGAUGAUUCCUGUCAUCAAUGUCAGGUGUCCACAUACACAUGCAUGCAUAGACAUACAUGUGGACUCUUUAAUAUGAGCCCACACACAGGCAUACAUGCACACUCCCCCAUACACUCACAUUUUUUUUUUUUUUUGUUUUUUUUGGUUUUUUUUCGAGACAGGGUUUCUCUGUGUAGCUUUGCGCCUUUCCUGGAACUCGCUUUGGAGACCAGGCUGGCCUCGAACUCACAGAGAUCCGCCUGGCUCUGCCUCCCCAGUGCUGGGAUUAAAGGCGUGCGCCACCACCGCCUGGCAACACUCACAUUUUUUAACCUUGGGCUUCAAUAUACAUGUAUAUACAUAUAUACUUGCACAUAUGCUCCUGCACAUGCAACUAUACACAUACUCUCUUGAGCUCUCCCCACCCCAACAAAUCUCAACAAAAGGAAUUUAUGGAGCUCUGAUGCCUGGUUCCUGGUAGACAGUGAUUGGCUACUGAUAAAGAUGCUGAAUGCAAAGGGAAGGAAUGUGCACCAGGAGGGCUUCCUGAAGGUGGGAACUGCUUUGGCUCUGGAACCCUGCUCUCCCAGUCCCUUACAGGGGAAGGUGGAUGAAGCAGAAUCUGGAUUUGGGCAGUGUGUUGGGGCUGGGUUUUUGAAAUAGCAGUUGAUGCUUCAGCCGGAAUGGGGAUGCAUUAACUGAUGGUAGAGCCUCUUGGAGGUAGGUAGGGAACAAGGCAUUCCUUGGCCCUUUAGGCUGACACUUGGAUCCCCAGUUUGACCAACAAAAUGUUGCAGAGAGCCACAGCAGGCCAUUUCCAACUGGGAGAAAAGCACUUCUGUAACUUCAGCUUUUAGAUAGGAAUAUUUUGAGUUGCAGGCUAGCUCGGACCACAUAGUGAGAUUCUAUCUAUCAUCCAUCUGUCUGUCUAUCUCUAUCUAUCUGAAAUUAGGAAGAUGAUUUUUGGUUUUAGGCUAGUUAAGGGAGAAAGGUGGUCCUUUUACUUUUAGCUAUGUACUGCACCUGUCAGUCACAGGCCACAGUUGGUCAGGAUAGUGUUGGGUCCAUGCUGGGCUAUAAAUUCACGUUACCUGUGCAGACAUUUGAGAUCUGGAGUUAUUGGAGUAUUUGGGUUCUCAUUGGAGCAAACUACUUGAUACUUGGUGGUUCCAAACAACUUGCUGUGUAUGAUGCUCAUAUAUUUCAUUUGAACAGAAUGUCACUCUGUAGUAGAGGCUAGCCUCAAACUCUGACUGAUCUGGCUCAGUUUUCCCAAUAUUGGGGUUAUUGCUAUGUUCCACCACAUCUGGCCUGCCAUGGUGUUCUGUCAGUGUGGUUCUGCAGUGUGUGGUUGUCCCAGGUAGUUCAGCUACCCUCUGGGGUUAGGGCUGGCUUUGUAUCAACAUGUGUGGAUAUCUUUUGUCUGUAUGUGAGAGUUGGGCUCCUUCAUGUGCCUACUGGAUUUAAGUGGCUGUUAAGGCAUUGGGAGUCCUAAGGUGUAAAGCAGAGAGGUUGCCCAGUUAGGAUCUCUCACUUGGAAAUAGGGUCUCAUGUAACUCAUGAUGGUCUUGAACUCCUCAUAUAGCUGAAGAUGACUGAACUCUUGUUUCUGCUUGCCUUCCUCUCCCCAGUGCUAGGAUUAUAAGUAUGUACUACCAUGCCUGGCUUUUGUGGAGUGCUAGGGAUGGAACUCAAGGCUUUGUGUAUGCCAGGUGUCUGCCUACAGCCAGGUGUAGUUGUUCUUUUUUGUAAUCCCAAGUAUUACAAGUGGUGAGAUUACAAGAGUGAGUUGAGGCAGGGGGAUUACCUCAGGUUCCAAUACAGAUUACACUUUGUUUAUGUAGACACUUUACUGAGCUACGUCCCUCGUCACAUCUUUUUUCUCCUUUACCCUUACUGUUUUACUUAGGGGAAAGGGUGGCCCUACUUUGGCAAACAGGAAGGAUUCCUAGGCAACUGGAGUGCCAUUCCUACCCCAGUCAUGGACUUGGACAUGGGAGCAUAUUGACAUUUGAGGAUAUGGCCAUCAACUUCUCUCAGGAGGCAUGGGAAUGUCUGGACUCUACACAGUGGGCUUUGUACAGGAAUAUCAUGUUGAAGAACUACAGCAACCUGGUCUCUAUGGGUCUCACAGUAACAAAACCAGAGCUGAUCAACUCUCUUGAACAAAACAAAGAGCCCUGGAAGGUGAACACAGGACACACAGAAGACAAAGAACAAGAUAAGUCAGAAUAAAGCAAUUGCAUAGGAGGGACACUGAAGGCAAGUAAGAAUUCAGACCUGUAGUGGGAUUUGUGAAGAUCUUCUUCACUUGAAAUGAUCUAAAAAUAAACUUUUAAUAAUCUCCUUAAAGAAUAUGGAAGAUGAUUCAUUGCCAUAUCCUAGAAUGUUAGUGAGUCCUUAAUUUAAUUAUCUUGAAAUGAAAACUCAUUCAAGCCAUAUUUUGACUGUGUAUGAUAGACUAUUCCUCUUUAUCAUUUCAUGUCUUUUUUAUGCUUUCAUGCCUGCAUUACAUGGUUUUCAUUGUUAUGUAAUAUUUAAUGAAAGCAGGAAGUAGAAAAUUUUACAGCUCUACUCAUUUUUGAAAAUUGCAUAGUUGUUUCUUUGCCUUUUGAUUCUGUAGCAAUUUAUAUGUAAUUUUAUUUAUGCAAAAAAAUCAUUAAAUAUGUUUUGUGCACAAA